rnacentral:lncRNA from 1 species
GGGGUAGGUGAGAGAAUCGACAUGGUCUGACUGAAGACAGUAAACUUAGUACUUUCUGGGAGGCAACCUAGUUUUAGCUUCUACUUUUUGAUAUUUUUUAUAUUUUGUUUAGGUUAAUCGAGUCUUACUUAGUAUCUUUUGUAGAGAUUUGAAGACAAAAUUGGCUAAGUUGGGGGGAGAACUAAUUUUGAAAAGACUUUUGGAUCAGGUGACAUCUCUCUUUUUCUUUUUUUCUCUUUGUAUGUACCCUUUAUUUUUUCUACUCCAUUAAGGAUAAUGUCAACUAAGUUGGGAGGAAGAAUAAUAAAUUUUUAAAGUC